rnacentral:tRNA from 1 species
UGUUCUGUGGCUUAGUUGGUUAAAGCGCCGGACUAGCGAUAUGAAGACGUGGGUUCGAAUUCCACCGAAACAA